rnacentral:misc_RNA from 1 species
CGACAAUGAACAUUAAGUACGAAGUUAAAACGACCGGGUAUAUACCAGAGUGAAUCGUAAGUGGAUAAUACGACCUAAAUAUGGUAGUAGUUGUAUAGAUGUGUUUGAUCACAUUGACGGUCGCGUUUCAACCAAGUUCCUGGAUGAUUUUCGGGUGUCAAAGAAUUAUUUAUUAAUAGCUAUUCAACGCUACUGUAAGCGUUAACAUGGUACUUGUUGGCAAUCUAUUUAAGACAUACAUGUAUAGAAAGUAUACAUACGAUAUGUAUAUACACUCGGAACGAAUAACAAUUGUAAAAAAAGUAAAAGCACCUUUUUCCGUAAUAACGCCAAUUCGGAUGACACC